rnacentral:rRNA from 1 species
AUGGGAACGCGAAGAACCUUACCUAGACUUGACAUCUUCUGCAUAGUGUAGAGAUACAUGAAGCCCUUCGGGGCAGGAAGACAGGUGGUGCAUGGUUGUCGUCAGCUCGUGUCGUGAGAUGUUGGGUUAAGUCCCGCAACGAGCGCAACCCUUAUUACUAGUUGCUACCAUUAAGUUGAGCACUCUAGUGAGACUGCCCGGGUUAACCGGGAGGAAGGCGGGGAUGACGUCAAAUCAUCAUGCCCCUUAUGUCUAGGGCAACACACGUGCUACAAUGGUGAGUACAGAUAGAUGCGAUACCGCAAGGUGGAGCCAAACUCUAAAACUCAUCCCAGUUCGGAUUGUAGGCUGCAACUCGCCUACAUGAAGUUGGAGUUGCUAGUAAUCGCGAAUCAGAAUGUCGCGGUGAAUACGUUCCCGGGUCUUGUACACACCG